ensembl:misc_RNA Metazoa_SRP Metazoan signal recognition particle RNA
GCUGGGUGUGGUGGUGCACUCCUGUAGUCCCAACCACUUGGGAGGCUGAGGUGGGAGGAUCGCUUGAGCCUGGGAAUGGGAGGCUGCAGUGAGCUGUGAUGGCACCACUGCACUCCAACCUGGGCAACAGAGCGAGACCUUGUCUCUA